rnacentral:rRNA from 1 species
UACAGAGGGUGCGAGCGUUGUUCGGAAUUAUUGGGCGUAAAGGGCGCGUAGGCGGUGCGGUAAGUCACCUGUGAAAUCUCCUGGCUCAACUGGGAGCUUGCAGGCGAAACUGCCGUGCUGGAGUGUGGGAGAGGUGCGUGGAAUUUCCGGUGUAGCGGUGAAAUGCGUAGAUAUCGGGAGGAACACCUGUGGCGAAAGCGGCAUCCUGGACCGGCACUGACGCUGAGGAGCGAAAGCCAGGGGAGCAAACGGG